UACAGAGGUGGCAAGCGUUGUUCGGAAUUACUGGGCGUAAAGGGCGCGUAGGCGGUUCGUUAAGUCCUGUGUGAAAUCCCUCAGCUUAACUGGGGAACUGCGUCUGAUACUGGAUGGCUUGGAUUCGGGAGAGGAAUGCGGAAUUCCAGGUGUAGCGGUGAAAUGCGUAGAUAUCUGGAGGAACACCGGUGGCGAAGGCGGCAUUCUGGACCGACAUUGACGCUGAGGAGCGAAAGCCAGGGGAGCAAACGGG
rnacentral:rRNA from 1 species